GAAGCUUCGACUAAGGUUCGGCUCGAGCGUCAGCGAGAGAGCGUUGCCGCAGGCAACGACCCGAAGGGCGAAGCGCGCAGCGCUGAGUAAUCCUUCCCCCACCACCA
rnacentral:sRNA from 1 species